GCCACCUAGCCGGGCAAGCCUUACACAUGCAAGUCGAGCGGUAGCACAGGGGAGCUUGCUCCCUGGGUGACGAGCGGCGGACGGGUGAGUAAUGUCUGGGAAACUGCCUGAUGGAGGGGGAUAACUACUGGAAACGGUAGCUAAUACCGCAUAACGUCGCAAGACCAAAGAGGGGGACCUUCGGGCCUCUUGCCAUCAGAUGUGCCCAGAUGGGAUUAGCUAGUAGGUGGGGUAAUGGCUCACCUAGGCGACGAUCCCUAGCUGGUCUGAGAGGAUGACCAGCCACACUGGAACUGAGACACGGUCCAGACUCCUACGGGAGGCAGCAGUGGGGAAUAUUGCACAAUGGGCGCAAGCCUGAUGCAGCCAUGCCGCGUGUGUGAAGAAGGCCUUCGGGUUGUAAAGCACUUUCAGCGAGGAGGAAGGUGGUGAGCUUAAUACGCUCAUCAAUUGACGUUACUCGCAGAAGAAGCACCGGCUAACUCCGUGCCAGCAGCCGCGGUAAUACGGAGGGUGCAAGCGUUAAUCGGAAUUACUGGGCGUAAAGCGCACGCAGGCGGUUUGUUAAGUCAGAUGUGAAAUCCCCGGGCUCAACCUGGGAACUGCAUUUGAAACUGGCAAGCUAGAGUCUCGUAGAGGGGGGUAGAAUUCCAGGUGUAGCGGUGAAAUGCGUAGAGAUCUGGAGGAAUACCGGUGGCGAAGGCGGCCCCCUGGACGAAGACUGACGCUCAGGUGCGAAAGCGUGGGGAGCAAACAGGAUUAGAUACCCUGGUAGUCCACGCUGUAAACGAUGUCGAUUUGGAGGUUGUGCCCUUGAGGCGUGGCUUCCGGAGCUAACGCGUUAAAUCGACCGCCUGGGGAGUACGGCCGCAAGGUUAAAACUCAAAUGAAUUGACGGGGGCCCGCACAAGCGGUGGAGCAUGUGGUUUAAUUCGAUGCAACGCGAAGAACCUUACCUACUCUUGACAUCCAGAGAACUUUCCAGAGAUGGAUUGGUUGCCUUCGGGAACUCUGAGACAGGUGCUGCAUGGCUGUCGUCAGCUCGUGUUGUGAAAUGUUGGGUUUAGGUCCCCGCAACGAAGCGCAUCCUUUAUCCUUUUGUUGCCAGCGGUUUCGGCCGGGACUCAAAGAGAACUGCAGUGAUAACUGAAGGAAGGUGGGGGAUGGACGGUCAAGUUCAUAUCAUAUGC
rnacentral:rRNA from 1 species